AGAGUUUGAUCAUGNCUCAGGACGAACGUUGGCGGCGUGCCUAACACAUGCAAGUUGAGCGUGGCCUUAGUUUACUAAGGUCUAGCAGCGGACGGCAGAGUAAUGCACAGGAAUGUACCUCGAAGUGGGGGAUAGCCCGUCGAAAGACGGGGUAAUACCGCAUAUGGUGGCAACACCAAAGCAGCAAUGCGCUACGAGAGCAGCCUGUGUCCUAUCAGGUAGUUGGUGGGGUAAAAGCCUACCAAGCCUACGACGGGUAGCUGGUCUGAGAGGAUGAUCAGCCUGAUCGGGACUGAGACACGGCCCGAACUCCUACGGGAGGCAGCAGUUGGGAAUCUUGCACAAUGGACGAAAGUCUGAUGCAGCGACGCCGCGUGGAGGAUGAAGGCCUUCGGGUUGUAANCUCCUUUUACGAGGGAAUAAUUUUUGAAUGUACCUUGUGAAUAAGCACCGGCUAACUCCGUGCUAGCCGCCGCGGUAAUAC
rnacentral:rRNA from 1 species